AGCAGCCGCGGUAAUUCCAGCUCCAAUAGCGUAUAUUAAAGUUGCUGCAGUUAAAAAGCUCGUAGCUGAAUUUCGGGACUAAUAUGUCGGUCGUGCCUCGGUACGUACUGGUUUAUUGGUUUCUCCUUUCUGAAGAACCAUGAUGUCAUUUAUUUGGUGUCGUGGGGAAUCAGGACUGUUACUUUGAAAAAAUUAGAGUGUUUAAAGCAAGCUAACGCUUGAAUACAUUAGCAUGGAAUAAUGAAAUAGGACGUUCGAUCCUAUUUUGUUGGUUUCUAGGAUUGACGUAAUGAUUAAUAGGGAUAGUUGGGGGCAUUAGUAUUCAAUUGUCAGAGGUGAAGUUCUUGGAUUUAUUGAAGACUAACUACUGCGAAAGCAUUUGCCAAGGAUGUUUUCAUUAAUCAAGAACGAAAGUUAGGGGAUCGAAGACGAUCAGAUACCGUCGUAGUCUUAACCAUAAACUAUGCCGACUAGGGAUCGGAUGAUGUUAAUUUUUUAAUGACUCAUUCGGCGCCUUACG
rnacentral:rRNA from 1 species